GGAACGGGCGGAGGUGAUAAAAUGGGAGGAGUGGGAAGUUAAAGUGGCCUGUAUAGAUUGAAGAGUUGUUCAGUUAGGGAGUUAGAAGCGACAGAGACAUUUCGUGAGAGGACCACAGCAGUUAACAAACAGCUUAGCACAUGGAAGAACAAACGAACAGCUACAAUUUUACAAGACAGGACAAGAUCUCAGCAAACCUAUUCCUAAGUGUGUUGGUAAGAAAACUGAUGGAUUUUAAACAACACUGAGAAAAAAAAGUUGUUCUGAAGCUUUCCUACUCAACUUUACAUGCACGAAUUGAAAGCAUUUCCACAGGCACCAACAUCAGAGAACCGGUAUCCAUACACAGCUGGAAUCACUCUAUUUUACUUUGAUUUACGACAAUGUAGCGAUCUCUGGAAGGCCCAAAACCUCCUAACUUAUUUACGCCUUCACUGUGCCUAAGUUAUUUUUACGUGCCCUAGGCAAAGUGAAAAUCGAACUUGCGAGCCCCAGACUAAAAAAAGAGUAUAAAGGAAUCAAUAAAGUUAGAGAUGUAAAGUUUCCUAA